AUACGGAGGGUCCAAGCGUUAUCCGGAAUCAUUGGGUUUAAAGGGUCCGCAGGCGGUCAAUUAAGUCAGAGGUGAAAGCCCAUCGCUCAACGAUGGAACUGCCUUUGAUACUGGUUGACUUGAGUUAUACGGAAGUAGAUAGAAUAAGUAGUAUAGCGGUGAAAUGCAUAGAUAUUACUUAGAAUACCGAUUGCGAAGGCAGUCUACUACGUAUAUACUGACGCUGAGGGACGAAAGCGUGGGGAGCGAACAGGAUUAGAUACCCCUGUAGUCC
rnacentral:rRNA from 1 species